rnacentral:rRNA from 1 species
AUUGAACGCUGGCGGCAGGCCUAACACAUGCAAGUCGAACGAGUGGCGGACGGGUGAGUAAUGUCUGGGAAACUGCCUGAUGGAGGGGGAUAACUACUGGAAACGGUAGCUAAUACCGCAUACCAUCGGAUGUGCCCAGAUGGGAUUAGCUAGUUGGUGGGGUAAAGGCUCACCUAGGGGACGAUACCUAGCCGGACUGAGGUGAUGACCGGCCACACUGGAACUGAGACCCGGGACCGCCUCCUAUGGGAGGCAGCAGUGGGGAAUAUUGCACAAUGGGCGCAAGCCUGAUGCAGCCAUGCCGCGUGUAUGAAGAAGGCCUUCGGGUUGUAAAGUACUUUCAGCGGGGAGGCGUUACCCGCAGAAAAAGCACCGGCUAACUCCGUGCCAGCAGCCGCGGUAAUAC